GGGCUUCCGUAGCUCCCUGUUUUCCAGGCAUCGGCUCCGGCCCCGCCCCUACCGCGUCUUUGACACAGUCACGUGAGGGGUGCGCGCGGGGCCUGCCGGGAGUAGUGCUGCCGGCGGGUCAGGGUUCGGCCCAACAUGGCGGUUCCUGUCGGACAGUGACCAAGGCUUUGCCGUCGGGAGGACCGAGUGGCGGUGGUCGGCGUCCCCACCGGCCAGGGUGGGAUGCAAAGCUUCCGGGAGCGCUGAGAGGAGGCGGGGACGGGCCCAGGCCCCGGAAGCCGAAGCAGCGGCGGCUACGCGCAGUCGGCUGCAGGCUCCGGAGUGGGGCCGCACCCGGCCGGGCAGGCGGCGGCGGCGGCGGCGGCUGCGGCAAGCUCGGCUCCGAGGUGGGGCGGAGGCCGGGCGCCGGGCCGCGGCCAUGGCCCAGUGCGUGCAGUCGGUGCAGGAGCUCAUCCCCGACUCCUUCGUUCCCUGCGUCGCCGCGCUGUGCAGCGACGAAGCCGAGCGGCUCACCCGCCUCAACCACCUCAGCUUCGCCGAACUGCUCAAGCCCUUCUCCCGCCUCACUUCCGAAGUUCACAUGAGAGAUCCUAAUAAUCAACUGCAUAUAAUUAAAAAUUUGAAGAUAGCAGUAAGCAACAUUGUCACCCAGCCAUCUCAGCCGGGAGCCAUUGGGAAGCUUUUGAAUGAUGUCGUUUCUUGCAGCCAGCCUGCAGAAGGAUCAGUGGCUAAUGUGAUUACAGCGGGGGAUUAUGACCUUAACAUCAGUGAUUCUAUGUUACCUGUCCUCGGUCCACUUGGAAUCUCUUGAGAGAGCCGAGUCCUGUGUGUUCCUAGGCCCUGCCACAGGGACCUGGACGCCCUGCCUGUUGAGGCAAGGUUGUGGAUGUCCCGGGCCUUAUGGUCCCUGCUUCGCAUGAUGUGGGGCAGCAUCCAUCUGAACGCUCAUCACUACCAAGGCCAAGGUUUUGGAAGGAAGUCCUUCUUCUCCCAUCUUAGUAUUAGACCAUCGGAUUUGGGACACGAGAAUAAGGCCGCUCUCUUUUCAUCCCUUACAAGCAUACACAGCUGCCUGCCCUUUUGCCUUGUGUCCAUCCUGGAGUGGCCUUCUGCAAGAUUCUAUGUUACCUGUCCUCGGUCCACUUGGAAUCUCUUGAGAGAGCCGAGUCCUGUGUGUUCCUAGGCCCUGCCACAGGGACCUGGACGCCCUGCCUGUUGAGGCAAGGUUGUGGAUGUCCCGGGCCUUAUGGUCCCUGCUUCGCAUGAUGUGGGGGCAGCAUCCAUCUGAACGCUCAUCACUACCAAGGCCAAGGUUUUGGAAGGAAGUCCUUCUUCUCCCAUCUUAGUAUUAGACCAUCGGAUUUGGGACACAGGACUAAGGCCGCUGACUCUGCAUCCCUUACAAGCAUACACAGCUGCCUGCCCUUUUGCCUUGUGUCCAUCCUGGAGCGGCCUUCUGCAAGAUUCUAUGUUACCUGUCCUCGGUCCACUUGGAAUCUCUUGGGAGAGCCGAGUCCUGUGUGUUCCUAGGCCCUGCCACAGGGACCUGGACGCCCUGCCUGUUGAGGCAAGGUUGUGGAUAUCCCGGGCCUUAUGGUCCCUGCUUCGCAUGAUGUGGGGGCAGCAUCCAUCUGAACGCUCAUCACUACCAAGGCCAAGGUUUUGGAAGGAAGUCCUUCUUCUCCCAUCUUAGUAUUAGACCAUCGGAUUUGGGACACAGGACUAAGGCCGCUGACUCUGCAUCCCUUACAAGCAUACACAGCUGCCUGCCCUUUUGCCUUGUGUCCAUCCUGGAGCGGCCUUCUGCAAGGUGGGAAGCCCGAGCUGGGUCUAGGGUCCAUUGAGUUGGGUGGUCGUCUCCCUUGGUGUAACACCUUCCAUCCCAAUGCCUUAGAAGAACCGGGUACAGCCUUGGAGGCCCCUCUUGCCGGGCCACCUUGACCUGGAAGCUUGGGUCAGCAGACCCAAGGCCAUGCUGGAAGCUGUACUGGUCACCCUGGUGGGUGGAGUCAUGUAGACAG